AUGUGGGAGUUGAAUGAAAAACAAAACCACAAUUUGCUUGUUUCUAUUAUUUCUCGAGUCAUUUCAGUUUUAAAAACUCAUGAUAAUCAAAGCGGUGGCACUUUGGAGGAUAGGAUAAUGCACAAAUGCAAUUGUUGCAAGCUGCGUGACAAAUUUUGCCAUCUUCUAAUUUCUGCUAUUUUCUGCAAUCUUGGUGGAGCAUCAUUAAUUAGAGCAAUGGUUUCAAAGGAGGUAUAG